rnacentral:lncRNA from 1 species
CAGCAGCACUUUUUGUAAUGAAGAAAAACAGUUUUGAUAAGAAAUUCCAGAAAGUGAUGUCAAACAACAUGUUAUAAUGGUAAAGAGAAAAUUAGUAAGACUCAUCAGCUUUAACAGAAAAGGACAAAUAGCUAAUGUCUCACCAAAUUUUGCCUGUUUAAUUGGAUAGAAAGACAACCCUCCAUUACACAAAAGUGAAAAAGCUAGCAAAUGGCUGACUGUUUAAUGGGAAAAUAAAUGAAAAAUACAGAAGCAAACGUGUGUAAAAAUAAAAUGUUAUUCAAUUGAUGAAGUACUUCAACAUCUACUAGCAGCCUUUAAGAGAAUCUGAUGUCUUUGG